UACGAAGGGGGCUAGCGUUGUUCGGAUUUACUGGGCGUAAAGCGCACGUAGGCGGAUCGUUAAGUCGGGGGUGAAAUCCUGGAGCUCAACUCCAGAACUGCCUUCGAUACUGGCGAUCUCGAGUCCGGAAGAGGUGAGUGGAACUCCUAGUGUAGAGGUGGAAUUCGUAGAUAUUAGGAAGAACACCAGUGGCGAAGGCGGCUCACUGGCCCGGUACUGACGCUGAGGUGCGAAAGCGUGGGGAGCAAACAGG
rnacentral:rRNA from 1 species